rnacentral:rRNA from 1 species
AUUGAACGCUGGCGGCAUGCCUUACACAUGCAAGUCGAACGGCAGCACGGGAGCAAUCCUGGUGGCGAGUGGCGAACGGGUGAGUAAUAUAUCGGAACGUGCCCGGUCGUGGGGAUAACGUAGCGAAAGCUACGCUAAUACCGCAUACGUCCUACGGGAGAAAGCAGGGGACCUUCGGGCCUUGCGUUAUCAGAUGAGCCUAGGUCGGAUUAGCUAGUAGGUGAGGUAAUGGCUCACCUAGGCGACGAUCCGUAACUGGUCUGAGAGGAUGAUCAGUCACACUGGGACUGAGACACGGCCCAGACUCCUACGGGAGGCAGCAGUGGGGAAUUUUGGACAAUGGGCGCAAGCCUGAUCCAGCAAUGCCGCGUGCAGGAUGAAGGCCU